CAAUGACGUCACAGUAUGUGAUGUAAAAAGAACAGAUAAAUCGAUUAUUUUAACAGAUUCAUUGAGUCGAAUUGUUUGAAGGAACCGAAUCCCACAAAUGAAUCAGACUUUCAAUCUAGAAGUGAAUCGGACUCAUAAUUCGGCUCAAUGAACCGUUCCAAAUAACCGUUACUGAGGUCAGUCACCUUUUAUGUAAUCGCAUAGCCGUGAAUAUCUUGUUGUGGCAGUUACUGAUGUAAAUAUUAAAUAUGUUACGUCCAUAUCACUGGAAAGUUGACGCAACACGAGAUUAGUUGAAAUAGGAGUUUAUCCAUCGACUCUAAUAACCGACAGCGGCAGGGAAUCGCGCGCAGAAUACAAUACAAAAACAUGGAAGCUGCCGUUGACGCCAGAACUGGAUCUAAAACCGUCAGUUGAAACACGACGUCUAUCCCCGUCUAUCCUGCACCUGUUCCCAUUCACCCUGGAGCCAGUCACACCAGUCUUCAUUAGCACAGCUGCUGCCGCCCCUCAGCCCACAAGACAGGAAGUCAGAUUAGAUACGGAAUGUCACCUUGCCCAUAUCAAGCGCUGGCUACCAGAAUAAGACACAUGACACAUGAUCAUGCUGGUGAUUUACAUCAAUGAGUCUUCAACCCUGCUCCUGAAAGCCCACUGCCCUUCAAAGUUUAUAUCCAGCCUACUUCAGCUUGUGAUUUUCAAGCAGUCCUGAAGACCUUGAUUAGCAGACUGCCGUUUCUAUGGAAACAAAGACCGAGAAGCCGGUCUGAGUUUGAUGGAGCGCUGUCAGACAGCGAGGGGGAGGUCGGAUCGUGUGUGUGUGCGAGUGUGUGGCCCAGAGGGAUCCUGAGGAUUGUGCUCUAUAGAAACAGUAAAACUCCAGAAGAAGCCGUGCUUCAUCAAGCCGGUUCUCCUUUAGCACCUACAUCUUGCUCACAACCUCCUAAGCAUCUUCAGCAUUAUCAUCAGGCUGAACGGAUGAAGCCGUAUUGAACGUGACAUUCAAUACCUCCUGCUGUAGUAUGUGCAGCAUCCUCUCUGCAGAGGGGAGCGAUCUGCAAGUGUGUGUGUUUGGAACAACAUGAGGUGUGUCAUCUCUUCCAGAGUUUUCUUAUCCCUCACAUCCGUGCAUGUGCCGAGUGUUGCCACGGAAACCCACAGUGAACGGUGCGAAGCUGCUACCUCAUUUCCUGCCAUGUAGAAGACUGGCAGCUCAGAGCUGUAAGAGAACACCUAGCAAACACAUAGCAAUGCUCUGGCAACCUCCAACAACACCCAAGCAUCAUGCUGCCCUUCACAGACCCACAAUCCUGCUGUGCUCAGCUUUGGUGUCGUGAGGAACAGCGGUUCAACAGCGGAGAUGCUGUUUCAGUCCUAAUUGCCUCUCAGAUGGGCCUGUACAUGCAUGAAGGGCAGAGAAACCCUCACGAGUGUGGACAACAGCGGGACUUUAAACUCACGUGUGACUGGUGCAUGAUGGGAAAUGACUGACAGGGGUCAAUCAGCUCUAAAAGACAGGUAUUACAUACAGAUGUUAAUUCAUCAGGGAUCUUCCUGUGCUGUAGGACACACAGUAUCCUCUAGAGACGCAUCAUCUCUGUUUCCCAUGAUGCAGCAAAUGACACGUCUGAAUUAUUUCUCAUGUGACAUCAUGGCAAGGACAAUGACAGCUAAUGCUAAUAGUGCAGCAUGUUUAUGUAUAUUCAUUCAUUUGGAGGGGAGGUGUGAUAAAAUGUAUCUAAUUUUGUAAU